AUACACUCACUCACUCACACACACGUCCCAAACACCACCACCAUCUGGUGGACAUUUUACUUCAGUGUGUGAAAGGUUAAAAGCUGCCACCAUCAACACAAUUUAGAAAUGGGACCCCUUGGGUUACCCCACAAAAUCAAAUUUGAAAAACCCUCAAAACACAAUUUGGCAAAAUUAUUUGUGAAACCACAGUCUCUUUGGUAACAUGAUUCUUAUACCAAACAAAGGCACAACUUAAUAAAGGAAUGCUUAUUAUGAAC